rnacentral:rRNA from 1 species
ACAAGCGGAGGAACAUGUGGUUAAUUCGAUGAUACGCGAGGAACCUUACCUGGGCUUAAAUGGGGAGUGACAGCUGUCGAAAGAUGGUUUUCUUCGGACACUCUUCAAGGUGCUGCAUGGUUGUCGUCAGCUCGUGCCGUGAGGUGUCGGGUUAAGUCCCAUAACGAGCGCAACCCUUACCGUUAGUUACCAUCAGGUUAAGCUGGGGACUCUAGCGGGACUGCCACCGUAAGGUGAGAGGAAGUGGGGAUGACGUCAAAUCAGCACGGCCCUUAUGUCCAGGGCUACACACGUGUUACAAUGGCCGGUACAAAGGGCAGCUACUUCGCGAGAAGAUGCUAAUCUCGAAAGCCGGUCUCAGUUCGGAUCGAAGUCUGCAACCCGACUUCGUGAAGCUGGAUUCGCUAGUAAUCGCGCAUCAGCCAUGGCGCGGUGAAUACGUUCCCGGGCCUU